UACGGAGGAUGCAAGCGUUAUCCGGAAUGAUUGGGCGUAAAGCGUCCGCAGGUGGCAAUGUAAGUCUGCUGUUAAAGAGUCUAGCUCAACUAGAUAAGAGCAGUGGAAACUACAUAGCUAGAGUACGUUCGGGGCAGAGGGAAUUCCUGGUGUAGCGGUGAAAUGCGUAGAGAUCAGGAAGAACACCGGUGGCAAAGGCGCUCUGCUAGGCCGUAACUGACACUGAGGGACGAAAGCUAGGGGAGCGAAUGGG
rnacentral:rRNA from 1 species